rnacentral:sRNA from 1 species
GUCUCUUCCGCUGUGCUGGAUUCAUACCAACAAGCAGCCCAAGCAUGUGAAGAUGGUUGGUUUGGCCCUGAAUGUCAAUAUAAAUGUCGCUGUCAACAAGCGUGUAGUCCUGAAGGUGAAUGUCCUGGUCAGUGUGACGUUGGUUGGUUUGGUUACAAGUGUCAAUAUAAUCUAGUCAAGUACACUGCUAUAACAAGACAGUCUCAAGACGAUCUUACAUUUGCUUUGAAUGACAACAAUGAAAAUACUUGUGUUGCUAUUGGCAACCAAGCAAUUGUUAUAAAUUUAUUGAUUAAUUCUUACAACCCAUGGAUUAGAUUGCACACACUGG